UCUCCAUCCAGAACCCCCAACGGCGGCCGCAUCCCCACCACCCACGCGAUCUCUUCUCCUCGAUCCUCGCCGGCGGAUGCUACCCACCUCCGCGCCGUCAAGAACCGGCGACCUCCACCCUCGCGUCCUGUCGCCCGGAGGUCAACUCGAUCUCCGCCGUCCUCUGGGGGUCCUUCACCGUGCGGAUUCCGACCCUCGGCGCCGCGCUCCGGGAAGACGUACCAUCCCCUGGGCACGCCUCCAUCGGCGAGCUCCCAUCCGGAGAAGGAAAAAGGCCGCUUCAAUUCACCCAGCCAUCGCGCUGCUAUCCUACUCCGACGACCGGCUGCUGACCGGAGCCCUGUCGGCCGCCCUCCACAAGCCGGUGAGUGUAUGCACGUGUUGGGUGAAAACCCUAGAAAAGCUUGGGAUGGAUGGAUUGAUGGUGGUGCUUCUUGAGGAGGCGGCGGCGGGUUUGGGAGCGGCGACAACUUGCUCUACCGCUCGGACGAUGACGGACGGAGCGGAUACAGGAUUAUCUUAAAGAGUAGCUGCAGCCCUGAUCUGCUACGGAAGCAUCGUACAAGAUAAGGUCUCCGGUAAUACAUG